rnacentral:lncRNA from 1 species
GAUCAUUAAUUUUCUCUAACACGUUAAAAGGAACAUCAGCCCUAGGCAUCAAUUUAGAUUUUCUCAAUUCAGAAACCUAUCCUUUCUCAAGUGCAACCAAACUACAUCUUCAGGUUCAAAAAUUAGUUCCUUUCCACCUUUAUCACCAGCAAACUUAUAUUUAGCAUUCAUAUGCUCUAUAUUUUCUUUAGUUAUUUCAUGCAGUUUUAA